GCAUUGGUGGUUCAGUGGUAGAAUUCUGGCCUUUCAUGUGGGACACCCAGGUUUGAUUCCCAGCCAAUGCA
rnacentral:tRNA from 1 species